rnacentral:lncRNA from 1 species
CCGCUCCGAGGGGCCCACCCGCGAGCAGCGGGGAAGGCGGGGACCCGGGCCCCGCGGGCCUGCAGCGCCCCCGCACCCGGUUCCACGCGCCCAGGGCCGCCCCCGCGGAGAGAGGGGGCGCGAGGGGCGCGCCUCUCGCUCGGACACCCUCUCCCAGCUCGCGCCCCAGGUAACUUAAACCCAAUUAUAAAUGGCUUUGGCUAUAAAGUGUUCUUGAAUGAAAACGUUUAGGAAGUAGGCCUGGAUUCAGAUGCUUCAGAGGCUCAAAGGUUUUCUAAUUGUUUAUGGAGAAGAUUGAUCUUCACAAGCUAGUUUUUUCAUAGGCAAAAGCAAAAGUCUCUUCCUGUGUUAUUAAGUGAAAAUGGCUGAUUAUAAAAAGGCCCUGGGUCAGGAGGUUGCCGAUUCCAGGAAGAAUCAGACCUUAUCCCUGCCCUUGAGUCUCAAGAAGAGGAAAGGAAAACAAAUAAGCAUAGUACAGUGUGAAAAGUGGGACUGUGGUCAAAUUUCAGUCUGCAAACUCAGAUCAUGAAAGAUAGUGUGGCUUCCACUUUGGUCUCUUAUAUCACCUACUGGGGGAAGCCAGCUGCCAUGUUGUGAGGACACUCAAGAAGCUCUGUGGAGAGGCUCUUUUGAAGGAGAACCAAUGCCUCCCACCAACAGCCAGCAUCAACUUGGGACAUGUGAGUGAACCAAUUGGAAGUGGAUCCUCCAGCCAAGUCAAGCCUUCAGAUGACUGAAGCCCCAGCCUCAUGAGAGAUAGCAGGCUAAAACUGCCCAGCUAAGCUGCUCCUGAAAUCCUGACCCCCCAAAUUAUAAAAGACAAUAAAUUAUUAUUGUUGUUUUAAGCCACUACAUGUUGGGGUGAUUCAUUAUGCAGCAACAGAUAAUAAAUACAUCACCCUUGUAUUCAUUACUGACGUUUAUUGGGAGCAUAGUGUGUGAUUUUUCAUUUAACCCUUCCAGUAAUGCUGUGAGAUAGGUAAGUUUAUUAUCCCCAUUUUACAGACAAAGAAACUGAGGUUCAGAAUGAGUGAAGUCUCUUCCCUGCAGAGUCCCUGACCUUAAGGAUUUUAUGGUCAGAUCUGAGAGACAGAAGCUCAAAAACCUAUGACUCUAGGCAAAAUAUGGCCCUGGGAUCCCAGGAUGGGGAGAGGAAUUUUGGAUUCUGGCUUCUACUUGGGCCUCAUAGCUUGGGAUGACAGAGGGUACACUCCAAAGGCAACAAACACCUUCCCUGCCCUUGAGCACCUGCUUAAUCAAGGGGAGAAAGUUCAGAUGCUUAUGCAUAAUGUGUGGUAUUUCUCUGCACAGAAACACACACGGGCCUGUACAGUAAUAAUGAAAAGCAACAACCCAUCUUAAGGGCUUGGCACUUUGCACUUACAAAGCCUUAUACAUCCCUAAUUCCAUGGAAUCACACCUGGCAGGUAAGCGUGGCCCUGUACACUUUACAGAUGGGGACACUGAGGUCAGGGAAGUUGUGUGAUUCUUGCAGAGCCAAGCAGCCUAGAAGUGGCAGAGUUCAGGUAAAACCCAGUAACUGGGUGUUUUACAAGUGCUAAGGGUAUGACAGGAGGUAGGCAGGGCUCCUCUGAGGGAGGUUUCAGGAAGAGGUCACCCGCGAGCAGGGUUCUGAGAAUGGGGAAGUGGCUUCGGGGAGAGGAUGGUGCCUGGGAGGGUUUGAGAGGAAACAGAGUGAGUCCCUAGGGGCUCCCAGGGUGUACGAGGGCAAAGAGGUGAACAUAGCUGGAGUGGAAAGAAUGAGAAAGCCUGGGUGUGUGGAAGAGCCUUGGUGUGUUAGGUGGAAUUGCAGCUGGAGGGUGUGUGCAGAAUGAGAGGUCUUGGUAUUGGGGCCAAAGUCAACUGCCACGCCUAAGGAGGGAGGAAGGCGCUUAUUUUGCUUCUUGGGUGAAAAUCAUUCCUGUGAUUUAGUUCUCCUUGGGGGAGGGGCGGGGUUUCAUCCAGCCUUAGCAAAUGCAUUCAAUCUUCACUACUUCUCUCUGUCAGAUGGGGUGGAUAGAGGUCCAAAUGUGGGCAGAAGCUUUUAUGUCCCAUCGCAGGGCAGCUAAGAACAGCUGCGCGGGUCGUUCACUGUACAUGGGCACUAGGCCAAAAGGGACUGAAAUCCGGACGGCCCUUUGUUUACUAAGCCAUGUGCCUGCAAGGCUGCACCUGCCCAGAAGGAAUGCUUCCUAUUUCUUUUCUUUAAAAAAAAAUUUUUUUUAUGAGCUAAAAUUCACAUAACAUAGAAUCUACCAUUUAAACCACUUUAAAGUAUAAAGUUCAGUGCUUUUAGUAUAGUCACAAUGUUGUGCAACCAUCACCACUAGCAGUUUUCGGAACAUUUCCAUCAUCCCAAAAAACAACUCCAUAACUCCUAAUUCCCCCCCUUUCCCCAUCUCUUGGCGACCAUGAAUCUGAACUUUCAUAUGAAUGGAGUUCUAUAAUUUGCUGUCUUCUGUGACUGUCUUCUUUCAUUUGGCAUUAAAACUUUUCAAGUUUUACCCAUGUUGUGGUAUGUGUCUGUACUUCAUUCCUUUUUAUGGCUCGAUAAUAUCGCAUUGUGUGAAUAUUCCACAAUUUGUGUAUCCCUUCAUGAGUUGAUGGACAUAUGGGUUAUAUCCACUGGCUGUUAAGAACAGGCGGGUCACGGUGGCUCACGCCUGAAAUCCCAGCACUUUGGGAGGCUGAGGUGGGCGGAUCACCUGAGGUCAGGAGUUCUAGAUCAGCUUUGCCAACACGGUGAAACCUUGUCUCUACCAAAUAUAUAAAAAUU